rnacentral:rRNA from 1 species
CUAUACAUGCAGUCGAGCGAACAGAGAAGGAGCUUGCUCCUUUGACGUUAGCGGCGGACGGGUGAGUAACACGUGGGCAACCUACCUUAUAGUUUGGGAUAACUCCGGGAAACCGGGGCUAAUACCGAAUAAUCUGUUCCACCUCAUGGUGGAACACUGAAAGACGGUUUCGGCUGUCGCUAUAAGAUGGGCCCGCGGCGCAUUAGCUAGUUGGUGAGGUAACGGCUCACCAAGGCGACGAUGCGUAGCCGACCUGAGAGGGUGAUCGGCCACACUGGGACUGACACACGGCCCAGACUCCUACGGGAGGCAUCA